UCCGAAACAUUCUCGGACCAAAACGGAUCAUUCUUUUGCCUCCUCUGCUCCAUAUCCAUGGCGACCGGCGGCGCCAGAGCACCCGGCGAAGAAGAAGAAGUGGCCGUGGACGACGAGUGGCAGUACGUUCAAUCCGCUGAUCCUCCGCCGUCUCUCCGCUUACCUCCCUCUUCUUCGAGUUCCACCCAAUGGGACACCACCGUCGCCGUCGCCGUCGGCGGAGAUGACUUCCUCCAACUCCAACGCCGUCGCCCCUCCUCUGUCAUCCCUCCCGUCCACCACCAAGGCCUCGACCGUGUCCCGCCGCCGCCACCGCAUAAACCCACUUCGCCUUCCUCUUCCUCGUCUCCUUCGUGGCGGUCGCCAUCGUCAUCUUCUUCUUCCUCUUCGCCUUCUCCUCCCAGUGGGACGGAGGACGAACCGCAAUCGCCGCCGCCGAGUCGUCCGCUCGCUGCAAUUCUCAGGUCCGGCGCCUGCGGGAUUGCUUCGAGGGUCCGCCACUGCGCGCUCCUCGUGGGGGGUUUCUGGUCGUUCAGCUCGGCUGCUGCGGCGGCGGCCGGGGUGGCGGCGGCGGUCCUGCUCUCGUUGGCAUACGUGAGAAUGCAGAGGAAGAGGUGGCGGUGGUGGAGAAGGGACAGAGUCCCCGUGGAGGCGAGCGAGAACCGCCUCCGCCUCCUCAUCAAAGACAAGGACCAGAUUCAUGUGCUUCUUCAGCACGUAAAAUGAGGUAAGGAACUGUAAUUGCGAGGAUGGGAAAUGAAAGACGUUUUAGUUGUUUCUCAAGUAAAGGGAUUCACUUGGGAUUUGUUCUAUUUCAGAAAGAGUUGUUCAACGUCAAAAGAUUCAGAUAACUUUAUUAAGCUCUUGAGAAUUAGGAUCUGCUGGAUUUUGGAGCGAAACCAAUGUUAAAGGCAGCGAAACGAUGUCGAUCCAUAUAUGGUUUCUGAACAACUUAUCAGUUCAGUCAGCAGAAACUACUUGGAUCAACAAGAUAUCCAGGCAUCUAGUUUCCAGUCGAUACGAAAAAAGAACCGAACUUUUCUUGGAAAGAUGUCAAGAACAAGCAGUCAGCUGCACAAUUUGGUAGUUUAAGAUCAGCCAACUCUUGCUUCAAAUUGCACAGAUGAACGAACUCAUGUUAGCUCGGCGACGGGUUCAGGUGCUCCGAGUCGGCGAUUAAUGCUUUCGAUCUCUAGUAAGUCAUGACUCUCCGGUGACCCGUUCCUCGAAGCCAUGAUGCUCCAGCCGCCUUGAGAAUUGAUGUGAAAAUGCAAGGUUUUUCGGCUUCCGGUCAAUAUAUAUGUAUGGAGGGAAUACACACUUGGAACUGCUUAUUAAGUCAUGCUUCUGUAAAGACAAUCGGUGACUGCACCAAUAUAUAUUAUUGUUGUCUUAUCCGUGGAAA